rnacentral:sRNA from 1 species
GUUCAUUUUUCACUCCUCCCUCCUAGGCCACACUUUUCAGAAAAACAAUCUGCAUCCUGGAAACCAGAAGAAAAAUAUGAGACGGGGAAUCAUCGUGUGAUGUGUGUGCUGCCUUUGGCUGAGUGUGUGGAGUCCUGCUCAGGUGUUGGGUACAGUGUGUUUGAUCAUGGUGGCUUGAGGGGAACCUGCUGUUCAGAGCUGUGACUGUGGCUGCACUCAGAGAAGCUGCCCUUGGCUGCUGGUAGCGCUGGGCCUUCUCUCCUCCUCAUCAUCCAGAGCAGCCAGUGUCCGGGAGGCAGAAGAUGCCCCACUCCAGCCUGCAUCCAUCCAUCCCGUGUCCCAGGGGUCACGGGGCCCAGAAAGCAGCCUUGGUUCUGCUGAGUGCCUGCCUGGUGACCCUUUGGGGGCUAGGAGAGCCGCCAGAGCACACUCUCCAGUGCCUGGUGCUCCACCUAGCCUCCCUGCAGCUGGGACUGCUGUUAAACGGGGUCUGCAGCCUGGCCGAGGAGCUGCGCCACAUCCACUCCAGGUGACUCACUGCAGUACCCAUGGUGAUGGGGUAUCCAACAUGUGUCACUCCCUUGAUGCCUAGCCUUGCCCCUCCUUGAACCUGUCUGGCUGAGCUGGGCUUGGGGCUGGGGUCUGGCUGUCACUCACAGGUACCGGGGCAGCUACUGGAGGACUGUGCGGGCCUGCCUGGGCUGCCCCCUCCGCCGUGGGGCCCUGUUGCUGCUAUCCAGCUAUUUCUACUACUCCCUCCCAAAUGCGGUCAGCGUGCCCUUCACUUGGAUGCUUGCCCUCCUGGGCCUCUCGCAGGCACUGAACAUCCUCCUGGGCCUCAAGGGACUGGCCCCAGCUGAGAUCUCUGCAGUCUGUGAAAAAGGGAAUUUCAACGUGGCCCAUGGGCUGGCAUGGUCAUAUUACAUCGGAUAUCUGCGGCUGAUCCUGCCAGGGAUCCAGGCCCGGAUUCGAACUUACAAUCAGCAUUACAACAACCUGCUAUGGGGUGCAGUGAGCCAGCGGCUGUAUAUUCUCCUCCCAUUGGACUGUGGGGUGCCUGAUAACCUGAGUAUGGCUGAUCCCAACAUUCGCUUCCUGGAUAAACUGCC